AGGCAGUGCAUCUCUAGCUGG
rnacentral:miRNA from 1 species